CGCAGCUUCCCGGAUCCGAUUCUGGCGCGGCCUGAGCUCCACGGCAGGUGGCCCGGCCCUGCAGGGACCCCAGCACCUCCGGGGGCCUCGCGGGAAUUGAGGACGAGCCUCUGGCGUUGGGUGAACCUGGGCGUUUGGUCGGCAACGGCGCCUGCCUGUGGGAGGGGCACCCGAGCAGGGACCGCCUCGAGUGCACUGGGGCCCAGCUAGGGCACUCUCGCGGGACAAUGGGUGUCACGGCAGCCAGCGACCGUUUGUCAUUCACAGCUGCCUGAAAGGAGGACCGCAGUAUUCCCACGCAGGAAGCUUGGACCAAAAGCAGGAAUGCUUAAGGGCGCAUAUGACUUGCCAUGGUAAAAAACAGGAUGCCAACCCAGGCCUGAUGACAUCCACCUCACUAAAAGCUAAGGACUAGGACUUUCUGCUUUAAACAAGGACCCACAUGUGGGUGUUUUCUGUGGGAGAGGGAGAGAGGACAUUCGAAGGGCAGAAGUCUGACCUUUGCAAGCACACGUGAACCACACCAAUGAGAAAUGAAUGGACGAGCCAGAUGCCAAUUUAUAAAUUUCCUACUGCACACCUUGAAUGUGAAAGUACAUGUGGCCGACAAAGAGAAGGGAAGAUGGAGCCGCCAUCUUCAACAGGAGUGGCACAACUGUCGGAUCUAUGUCUGCAGCUGGAUUUUACAGGCUGCUCUUCGUUAGAAAGGAAAACUUUACGGAGGACUUCCAUGCCUUCACUAUCUGCCUAAGUAAAUUCUUCUUAACUCCUGUACCAGUCUCAGCCUCAUUUUGUCCAGCCCCUAUACAAGAUGG
rnacentral:lncRNA from 1 species